GGUAGAUAGUUUGUUUCCGGUAGACCCUUGGCUCAAAACAAAAGUUUUUUAAGCAAGGAAAAUGCAAUAGAAAAAUAGCAAAAUAGCAAGAUACAAAGCAAAUGAAACAACAGACGGUACCACACAUUGAAAAAUAAGAAACAAAGCAAAUGCUAACUAGUACUACCACUACUAAUAGGAGGGGUAUUAUAUAAUUUUUUGAAUUAAUUUAAAUUGAAAAGUAUUAUAUAAAUUAGAAAGUCGUUUGUUUACAUUGAUGGGAUGUAUAAGAAUAUUUCAUGAGAUCCAUUAUCCCACCUUUUGUAUGAAAUUGCUAAUUUCACCAUUUUGUACAAAAUUAUUUUUGGAGCUAAUCAACAUCUAUAUUCAAAUAUGUAUAAAUUAGAAAGUCGUUUGUUUACAUUGAUGGGAUGUAUAAGAAUAUUUCAUGAGAUCCAUUAUCCCACCUUUUAUAUGAAAUAGCUAAUGUCACCAUUUUGUACAAAAUUAUUUUCGGAGCUAAUCAACAUCCAUAUUCAAAUAUGAGACUGAGUUGUUGUUCGGUAGCUGGUUAGAAUUAUGCAGGUAUUAGCUAUUCUAUCCUCUACUCCGUAUAAGAUAAUACACCAAUUCCCUCAUAACUCAUACAUGUAUUAGUUACGAGUUUCUAAAUUGCAAACCAAACUUCAUAUUAGUUUUAAUCACGAAUAAUUUAUUUCCUAAUUAACUACCAAACAUUGUAUAACUUAUACAAAAUUUAAUAAAUAUAUAAAUUGCUUCUUUACUAGCUACCAAACGACGACUGAUUGUUUGUUAUUGUAGUUGUCAGUCAACUAUGAGGUAAAAUAAUCAGACAUUUUGAAAUUUUCAGCUAUUGAUGUAGCCUCUUUGGAUGCUGAUCUAGAAUCCUUAUUUUUUAAAUUAUUAACAACCACCUAGCCCACCAACUUUGACCAUGGAAUAUAACUAAGUAGCCAGAUCAGUUAGACCAAAUAUUAAGUCUCCACACUGUCAUGCCACCACUCUACAUAGUUUUUUUCCCUUCUAUCAUUUCUGUUUGCUUGAUAUCUCAUACAAAAUCAAUCAUCACUUCAAUGGAGAAAGUGAAUUUCAGAAUAAAAGUCCUCAGCAGACACCUAAAUCAAGAAACAUCCACACCCAAGUUUAUACUCGAAUCGUUUCCAUGUCUUAGCUACAAGCCACCUGAGCUUUCAGAACCAUCUGCUGUUUUCGACAUAAAAGAGAUGAGAAAGCUCGUGGAUGGUCACAAUUUGGAGGAAAGGGACUGGCUUUUUGGUCUGAUGUUACAAAGCAAUCUUUUUAACCCAAUGGAAAGGGGUGGCAAAGUGUUUGUUUCCCCUGAUCACAGUCAGUCUAAAGAACAACAAAGGGAAAUUACCAUGAGGAGAAUUGAGUACCUUCUUGAACAUGGGGUUUUUAAGAAAUGGUUUACUGGUGAAGGGCCUGAAAAUGAGUUGAGAAAGUUAGCUUUCUCGGAUUGUAUUGGCGUCUUUGAUCAUUCACUGGGCAUCAAGCUUGGAGUCCAUUUGACCCUAUGGUAUGUUCUUGUCCAUUGUGUGCCUAUUUUUAAUAUCCGGAAGUUAGUGGCCUGACUAAUUUGAAUACCUCUCGGGUAGGUCCCAACUAAGGGAGAAGUUAUCUAUUCUCGAGGCCUGAACUCGAGACGUAUGGUUAAGGGGAAGACAUCUGGUUAAGUGUGGCGUCCACUAAGAGAUAAGUUCUUCAUUCCCGAGAGUUGAACCCUUGGCCUAUGGUUAAGAGUUUGAAUUGUAGUUAAGAGGUUCUUCAUUUCUAAGACUCGGUAGAACCCGACUCUUGUGGUUAAGUGCAAGAUCUUUGGUUAAGUGUGAAGGGGUCACCUCCAUCCCACCUCACCUCUUGGUGGUCCGAAUGAUAAAUUGCUAUAAUGGUUGUUGUUACUGUUUGUUUUUCGCUCAAAUUAGUUGGGAUCAGAUAUAUGAAUCGGCUUUGUCUAUCUCAGAGAACUCAUAGUUCCAUUCUUUUUACUAUGGUUGUCAAAAGAUAUAAUUUUUGAAUAGGAAUAAGAAAGAAUACAAGUGACAUUUAAUUUUCCUGGACGGACAUUCUUGAUUGCUUGAUUGAUUGGUUAAAGAAAGUAUGCUUGGCAACUUUAGACCACCAGUCCGUGGAGGGUAGGAUGUACGCAAACCCUACCCCUGCCUUUGUGGGGUAGAUAGUUUGUUUCCGUUAGACCCUUGGCUCAAAACAGAAGUUUUUUAAGCAAGGAAAAUGCAAUAGAAAAAUAGCAAGAUACAAAGCAAAUGAAACAACAGAUAGUACCGCACAUUGAAAAAUAAGAAACUAAGGGAAUGCUAACUAGUACUACCACUACUAAUAGGAGGGGUAUUAUAUAAUUUUUUGAAUUAAUUUAAAUUAAUAAGUGUGAUAUUAAUUAGAAAGUCGUUUGUUUACAUUGAUG
rnacentral:lncRNA from 1 species